rnacentral:rRNA from 1 species
UACGAGGGGUGCAAGCGUUGCUCGGAAUCAUUGGGCGUAAAGCGGGUGUAGGUGGUUAUAUAAGUCAGAGGUGAAAGCCCAGGGCUCAACCCUGGAAGUGCCUUUGAUACUGUAUGACUUGAGUGUGGGAGAGGGUGCUAGAAUUCCUGGUGUAGUGGUGAAAUACGUAGAGAUCAGGAGGAACAUCGGCGGCGAAGGCGGGUGCCUGGCCCAACACUGACACUCAGACCCGAAAGCGUGGGGAUCAAACAGG